rnacentral:rRNA from 1 species
ACAACAGGUGGAGCCUGCGGUUUAAUCGGACUCAACGCCGGGAAACUCACCAGAUAAGACAGCUGAAUGAUAGUCGGGCUGAAGACUCUACUUGACUAGCUGAGAGGAGGUGCAUGGCCGUCGUCAGUUCGUACUGUAAAGCAUCCUGUUAAGUCAGGCAACGAGCGAGACCCACGCCAACAGUUGCCAGCUCGUCCUCCGGGAUGGUGGGGACACUGUUGGGACCGCCUCUGCUAAAGAGGAGGAAGGAAUGGGCAACGGUAGGUCAGCAUGCCCCGAAUUAUCUGGGCUACACGCGGGCUACAAUGGGUGGGACAAUGGGUAUCGACACCGAAAGGUGAAGGCAAUCUCCUAAACCCAUCCGUAGUUCGGAUUGUGGGCUGCAACUCGCCCACAUGAAGCUGGAAUCUGUAGUAAUCGUGUCUCAAAAUGGCACGGUGAAUAUGUCCCCGCUCCUU